CUAUUAGUAAUUAUUUUGUACAACAGCCCAACUACAUAAUAACAAUAAUAUAAACACUUAUCUCAUUUUAGGGUUUAACACAAUUGAGCGGCGCCGCUAUCUCCAGAUCUACCCUUUUCCUCUUCUCCCUCGUUGCAUCUUUCUCCCCUUCAAUUCCAUCUUUCUCCAUAUUCACCUUCUCUCUCGUCGUCUGCCAUAUUAUCGAGUAUCGCUUUCUUUGGCAACUCCCAAAAAUAAAACCCUAGCUUUCGCCCCAUCUCCCCUCUUAUCUCUGAAAUUCAUGUCGGUGACUCCUUACGACCACCCCCCCCACCGCCCUUCGUGUUUCAAACGACGGCGUCGCCCAAGCCCAAGCCGCUCCAGAUCUCGGCCUUCUCCCUCUACUGCAUAUUUGCAUAUUUAAUUCCAGUUCCAGCGCUCCAGAUCUCGGCCUUCUCCCUCGACUGCAUCUUUAAUUCCAAUUCCAGCGUUUUUAUAAUGAUUAAGAUCUAUUUGUUUUUUUCGUUUAUUAGUUUUCAUUUUUUAAUUUUUCUUUUUUUGUUUUAUAGUAUCAGUUUUGUAGAUCUAGGAAUAUCGUUUGAAAAGUUUUUUUUUUUGGAAGAUGCUUUGUUUUUUAAUACUGAAUAAGAUCUAUAUUUUUUUUCCAUAUUAGUUUUUUCGUUUUGAGUUAUAUUUUUGUGUCUAUGGUAUUAUUAUGUUAGAUCUAUGAAUAUCUACACAAAUUGUUAAGUUACAGAAUAGUUUUUUUUUGGUGUCUCUGUUGUGCUCUUUUUAGACUUGAUGAUUACUUUGUUUUAUGGCAUUUUGAAUCUAAUUUGAGUUAAUUUGCAGAUUAACAGUUAUAUGCUACCAUCUCUCACGUCACUCCUCACUCUUCACCUUUCAUAUGCACUCUGAGUUUCGCCACCUCCACCACUAUAAGAUUCUGUGCUCCAUUGGCGUUUGCGGAUUCUAUGCUCCAAUCUUGAUC